UACGUAGGGUGCAAGCGUUAAUCGGAAUUACUGGGCGUAAAGCGUGCGCAGGCGGUUUUGUAAGUCUGUCGUGAAAUCCCCGGGCUCAACCUGGGAAUUGCGAUGGAGACUGCAAGGCUAGAAUCUGGCAGAGGGGGGUAGAAUUCCACGUGUGAGCAGUGAAAAUGGCGUAGAGAUGUGGAGGAACACCGAUGGCGAAGGCAGCCCCCUGGGUCA
rnacentral:rRNA from 1 species